rnacentral:rRNA from 1 species
GACGAACGCUGGCGGCGUGCUUAACACAUGCAAGUCGAACGGAAAGGCCCUGCUUUUGUGGGGUGCUCGAGUGGCGAACGGGUGAGUAACACGUGAGUAACCUGCCCUUGACUUUGGGAUAACUUCAGGAAACUGGGGCUAAUACCGGAUAGGAGCUCCUGCUGCAUGGUGGGGGUUGGAAAGUUUCGGCGGUUGGGGAUGGACUCGCGGCUUAUCAGCUUGUUGGUGGGGUAGUGGCUUACCAAGGCUUUGACGGGUAGCCGGCCUGAGAGGGUGACCGGCCACAUUGGGACUGGGAUACGGCCCAGACCCCUACGGGGGGCAGCAGGGGGGAAUAUUGCACAAUGGGCGGAGGCCUGAGGCAGCAACGCCGGGUGGGGGAUGACGGCCUUCGGGUUGAAAACCGCUUUCGCUUGUGACGAAGCGGGAGUGACGGUAAUGGGGAAAGAAGCACCGGCUAAUUACGU